rnacentral:snoRNA from 1 species
CAACCUGCCCCCAUGCAGCUCCCAAGUGAACCCACCAUAUUUUCCUUAUAUGACUGGGCUCCCGGGCAGGGGAGGCUUUGGCACUGGGAACCUGAAGUGAUUAUGCAACAAUGACCACAGGGGAUGAGAGGCUUGGGGGCCAGCUG